rnacentral:rRNA from 1 species
CCCUUAGUUUGAUCCUGGCUCAGGAUGAACGCUAGCUACAGGCUUAACACAUGCAAGUCGAGGGGCAGCAUGAACUUAGCUUGCUAAGUUUGAUGGCGACCGGCGCACGGGUGAGUAACACGUAUCCAACCUUCCGUUUACUCAGGGAUAGCCUUUCGAAAGAAAGAUUAAUACCUGAUAGUAUGGUGAGAUUGCAUGAUAACACCAUUAAAGAUUUAUUGGUAAACGAUGGGGAUGCGUUCCAUUAGGUAGUAGGCGGGGUAACGGCCCACCUAGCCUGCGAUGGAUAGGGGUUCUGAGAGGAAGGUCCCCCACAUUGGAACUGAGACACGGUCCAAACUCCUACGGGAGGCAGCAGUGAGGAAUAUUGGUCAAUGGGCGAGAGCCUGAACCAGCCAAGUAGCGUGAAGGAUGAAGGUCCUACGGAUUGUAAACUUCUUUUAUACGGGAAUAAAGUUUCCUACGUGUAGGAUUUUGUAUGUACCGUAUGAAUAAGCAUCGGCUAACUCCGUGCCAGCAGCCGCGGUAAUACGGAGGAUGCGAGCGUUAUCCGGAUUUAUUGGGUUUAAAGGGAGCGCAGACGGGAGAUUAAGUCAGUUGUGAAAGUUUGCGGCUCAACCGUAAAAUUGCAGUUGAUACUGGUUUCCUUGAGUGCAGUUGAGGCAGGCGGAAUUCGUGGUGUAGCGGUGAAAUGCUUAGAUAUCACGAAGAACCCCGAUUGCGAAGGCAGCUUGCUAAACUGUAACUGACGUUCAUGCUCGAAAGUGUGGGUAUCAAACAGGAUUAGAUACCCUGGUAGUCCACACGGUAAACGAUGGAUACUCGCUGUUGGCGAUAUACUGUCAGCGGCCAAGCGAAAGCAUUAAGUAUCCCACCUGGGGAGUACGCCGGCAACGGUG